rnacentral:rRNA from 1 species
UAGGGAAUCUUCGGCAAUGGACGAAAGUCUGACCGAGCAACGCCGCGUGAGUGAAGAAGGUUUUCGGAUCGUAAAACUCUGUUGUUAGAGAAGAACAAGGACGUUAGUAACUGAACGUCCCCUGACGGUAUCUAACCAGAAAGCCACGGCUAACUACGUGCCAGCAGCCGCGGUAAUACGUAGGUGGCAAGCGUUGUCCGGAUUUAUUGGGCGUAAAGCGAGCGCAGGCGGUUUCUUAAGUCUGAUGUGAAAGCCCCCGGCUCAACCGGGGAGGGUCAUUGGAAACUGGGAGACAUGAGUGCAGAAGAGGAGAGUGGAAUUCCAUGUGUAGCAGUGAAAUGCGUAGAUAUAUGGAGGAACACCAGUGGCGAAGGCGGCUCUCUGGUCUGUAACUGACGCUGAGGCUCGAGAGCGUGGGGAGCAAACAGG